GACGAACGCUGGCGGCGUGCUUAACACAUGCAAGUCGAACGGAAAGGCCCUGCUUUUGUGGGGUGCUCGAGUGGCGAACGGGUGAGUAACACGUGAGUAACCUGCCCUUGACUUUGGGAUAACUUCAGGAAACUGGGGCUAAUACCGGAUAGGAGCUCCUGCUGCAUGGUGGGGGUUGGAAAGUUUCGGCGGUUGGGGAUGGACUCGCGGCUUAUCAGCUUGUUGGUGGGGUAGUGGCUUACCAAGGCUUUGACGGGUAGCCGGCCUGAGAGGGUGACCGGCAACAUUGGGACUGAGAGACGGCCCAGACUCCUACGGGAGGCAGCAGUGGGGAAUAUUGCACAAUGGGCGGAAGCCUGAUGCAGCAACGCCGCGUGCGGGAUGACGGCCUUCGGGUUGUAAACCGCUUUCGCCUGUGACGAAGCGUGAGUGACGGUAAUGGGUAAAGAAGCACCGGCUAACUACGUG
rnacentral:rRNA from 1 species